UUGAUAUUUUAAUAAUAGCUCUCAAGACUUAGCUCAGUGUCUCUCAAAGUUGGAUUACAGUGGAAGGGAGUGGUGGGGAGCAGGUAUAGGCUGGAAGAAAGGGUUGGAAAUAUAUUGUUGAGGGUCUAAUAGUUUUUGAGACAUUUAAUUUUUGUAUUUUCACUUUAAUGUUAAUCAGUACUUGAUCAUGCAUUUUAGUUUGCCAUUCCACUGGCACCCAAGUAGUCACCAACUUUUGGUGCAGUAUUUCAAAAGUGGGGUAUAAUCUCAAAGAUUCAGAUAAUUUUUUCUUCUAACAUGAAUCACUUUGUUCCUCAAAUUGGGAAGUACUAACUUAAGAAACAGGCAUUGUAGGAAUGUGAGUGUUGUUUAUGUAUCUGGCAGCACCAAGAGGAGAGACUCAGAAACGUAAGACCUAAGUCCUGCCCUCAAAAACCCACAGGCUCAUUGGAAAAACAGCACAGGAACACUUAAGAAAUGAAAUUCAAGCAUGAAGUAACAACGUGAGAAAUGUACCUGACCCGUGGAUCCACUUGAAUUCUUUACCACCUGGUGUUGAGCCCUGUAAAGUGCUAUGAAAACUAGCACAGCCUCACUUGGGACUGAAAGAAAAUAAACCACAGGCAGGAUUUUAAACGAACAUAGAAAACACAGCACAAGCAAUCCUAGCUGUUGGGGCUGCUGAAUCCUGCAACCUUCAACUAUGGCGUCGAGACAAUGGGGCAGAGGGAUGCUCAUUUCCCAGGUUGCUGAUUGUUGAGAAACGAUUCUGUGAACUUCACAUAAGCAGAUUUUGUUCAGAAUAAUAACAACAAAAACAUUGAGAAAUGGAAGCGAAACAUGAAUAGGAAAAUAAUGGUUAGAUGACCUCACAGGAAUGCAUACCCAAUGGUAUGGCUCACGUGCAGAGAAGCGGCACUCGAUUUUGACUCUAAGUUACCUAGCAGCAUAAGCAAUGAGGAAAAUAGUUGCCAGAGCCUUCCUGUCCACAGGACAAAAACAAACCCCUCAUUCAGAGGAAGCACAGCUUUUUCAGACGCUGAAACCUUGUAUAUUUUUUUCUGGGCUAGUCUCCUUAAGAGCAUCCUGCAGUGUUACAGUCAGGAAAUUUCAUGUUUAUGUCUUUGGACUCCACGUUGGUGAUUUCAGACCCAUGGCAGCAGCAGCGGCAGCAUUCCCGGAGAGAAAGGAACCCAGAGGUAUCACUGACGCCCCGCUGGACGGAGGGGCUUCUGUGGCUGCUACCAUUACUGCCGCUUCCUCAGAACCAAACCCCAGAAUCAGAGGAGGAGCAGUGGCUUCCAAAACGAAAUGCCACCUAUGUGGUGCCACUGUGGGAGAUCUUGUUCCUGACACGUAGCUUCAGCCACCCCAUGGUCCAAGUCAACCCAACACACCCCGGGACAGGAAGGAUCCGGUCACCUGGGAGAAAGCCCUGAAUGAACCAAAGAAUAACCAAGGGAAGAAACAGCCCAGGUAUCUGUGAAGGAUUUACAGUAGAUACAGUGUCCCCUGACCAGGCCAUGAGGGAUUCGAAGCUGAGAAUUACACAGUCCCUGCUCUCAAGAACUCACACUCUGUUGAGGAGACAGAGAAGAUAUUGGGUGAUUUCCACACACUUUGUGAAGUGCUGGCACAGGGGCUGGAGGGUCAAGGAGAAAUAUAGCAAACAGAUGUGAGACAGGCCUGGGGAAGAUGCUGUGGGAGUAACCACAGGCUAGGAUGGAAGCCCCAAGAGUUUUGGCUGGUUCCAAUAUGGUGAGAUUUUGUCUAGAGACAUUGCAUCAGAAAAUGCAUCAGACACUUUUGGCUGAUGCAAUUGGGUGUGUAGGUAAGGACCAAGGCAUCUAGUGGAAAGAGGCCAGAGACCUUGCUAAACGUCUUACAAUGCACAGGACUGCCCCCAACAACAAAGAAUUAUCCAGCUUGGAAUGUCCAAAGUUGAGAACCCCUGCCCUGGAGUCGGGAGGAGCCCCUGAAAGUUCUAGGCAGGGCAGUGAAACAGUCAGGUGUAUUUUCAGAUGUCUUGUCAAUAUUAGAGAAAUUAGGAAACUGCUGUUUCUUUCAAGUGGAAUUUGUCUAAGGGAUGGCUGUUGGAGCCAGUGAGCUGAGGGUCUGGAGGGUGAGAAUUCCACCCUAAGGGGCGUGGUGCCAUGGCAAGUCCUGAACCAGGCAUCAGUAGUCCUGGCCUGACUUCAGCUCCUCCAGCCACAGGCUGGGUGACCAUAGGCAGGCAUGACAACUCCCUGAGCCUCCUUUUCAUCAUCUACAAAAUAAAGCACAAGAAUAUAUACUGUUCUGGCCUUAUUCCUGUGUUACUGUGGUAUCAAAUACAAUCGUAUUAAUGAAAGAGAGUGAAAAAAUGUAGAUGAAGGAUAUUAUUGUACUGUAAAGAACAUCUUUUAAACAAUUAUACAACAAAUAUAGGCUAAUUAUAGUGAAGUAGAAAAUACAGUUAAGCAAAAAGAGAACAAAAAAGCUCACCCAUUAGCCAUCCCUUCACCAUCCAGAAAAAAACACUGUUAACAUUUAAUUGUAUAUUUUUAGUUUUCCAGGCUUGUGUGUGUAUGUGUAUGUGUGUAAUUUUUCAUUUAAA